UUAUUUAUUUAUUUAUUUAUUUAUUAUUUAUUUGAGGGAGCACAAGCAGGAAGGAGGGGCAGAAGGAGAGGGAGAAGCAGGGAGCCCAACAUGGGGCUUGAUCUCAGGACCCUGGGAUCACGACCUGAGCCAAAGGCAGCUGCUUAACUGACUGAGCCACCCAAGUGCCCCACAUAUCAUUGCUUUAAACUUUUUUUUUUUUUGAGAGUGACACAGAGAGAGAGAGACAGUGUGCAUGGGGGGGAGGGGCGGCGAGGAGAGGAGGAGCAGAGGGAGAGGAAGAGAGAGAAUCUCAAGCAAACUUCAUGCCCAGCACAGAGCCCAAUGUGGGGCUCGAUAUCAUAAUCCUGAGAUCAAAAUUUCAUCAAUAUACCAGCAAAUUCCCAUUUUUCCACACUCUUAAAUAUCAUUAAUCUUUUUACUUUUGCAAAACCAAGAGGUUAAAAAUAGAAAGAUAGCUUAUUUUAAUUUGCCUCACUUUCAUUAUGAGAAGGUAAGUAUCUUCUGGUAUUUUCUUCUCCUUUUGCCCAUAUUCAGAACAAGACAGGCCAUGAGGUGGAAUCUAUGGUGGGAACAGCAUUUCCCCUUGAUUUCUUGACUCAGAAUGUUUUCAUCAGAGAAGCAAAAGCACAGGAACCUCAAUGACAUCUAAGAUGAGCAGUACAUUGAAAUGUUUUGAAGGACUCUGCAGGAAAAUGUAAAUAAAUUCUGAAAGGGAGUCUAAUAGAGGUUUGUAAGGGCUUUGAUAACUGGAGAAUGAUGAUGUUAUUCACAUUUGUAAAAGUGUUAAUGAUUAUGCAGACUGAAUAUUACUUGUCUAUGAGUCAGAUUUGGCCACAAAUUUGCAACCUGAUCUAAAAUGACAAAGAAUCUAAUUGUUCAAAGAAAUACAUAUAAGAAUUAGAUUUUGGCCUCUGUAGAAAAAAAAAAUCUCUUAUGUUCAAAAUUCUAAUAUUUAGCUAAAUCUUUUUGUUUUAAAUUUAAGUUCAGGUUUUGACUUAAUUUUGUUUAAAAAUUAAGAUUAAACUUAAUUUUUUUGGAAAACAUAUACUGUGUUUUUUUUUUGACUCACUUAUACCCAUAAAGAAAGAUCAACUGAAAAUAACUAUGAAUUUGCCAAGAAGCAAGUAUUCCACACAUUCGAUUCAAUUCAAUUCCACACAUUCCAAUUAAGAGAAUUCUUAAUUUUUUUAAGUUGAACUACAUGAAAUUGACAUUUUGAAGGUCAGAAAUAGUUGAAUGUCAGCAAUCUCCUAUGUAAAUCAAAAACUUUUCUGUAAACUUGUCUAUGCCACAUUACCUUAUUUUAAAAGGUCCAGACCUUUCAACAGGAGAGUAAGAACAAUACCAUUGAAGUGAUAAUACUCUUAUGAAUUAGUUUGUUUUUAUAGCUGAUUCAAACUUCUUGCUUCAGCUUUUGUUUAUUUGAUUGCCAACUCAUGAGAGAGCCAGGUUUUGGUUGUAGCCUUCACCAAAGGAAACAAACUGUAUGUCUCUAAGAGUCUAUUUACAGAGUUACUAUCCUUCAAAAAUUCUACCUUUCUGGGGGUGACUGGGUGGCUCAGUCAGUUAAGCAUCCAAUUCUUUUUUUUUUUUUUUUUAAGAUUUUAUUUAUUUAUUCAUGAUAGACAUAGAGAGAGAGAGAGAGAGAGAGAGAGAAGCAGUCUCUAUGCCAGGAGCCUGACGCGGGACUCGAUCCCGGGACUCCAGGAUCUCACUCUGGGCCAAAGGCAGGCACUAAACUGCUGAGCCACCCAGGGAUCCCCAGCAUCCAAUUCUUGAUUUCGGCUCAAGUCAUGAUCUCAGGGUCCUGGGAUCAAGGCCACACCCAGGCUGGUGCUCAGUAGGGAGGCUGCUUGAGGAUUCUCUCUCUCCUCCUGCCCCUCCCCCCAACUUGUGCUCUCCCUUUUUCUCUAAAAUAAAAUAAAUAAAUCUUUAAAUUAAAAAAGUUCGACUCUCUUCAAAGAUGGCUUUUUGGCUCUGACUGGAAAUAGUAACACUGACAGGCAAAAUGCUUUGUGUUGCUUUGAGGUAUGAAACAUUACCUGUUUGGUGAAACAUUACAUAACUCCUGUACCUGGCCUCUUCCAUCAAAUGAUUCAUCUGUUUGAUGAAGUCAUUUGUCAACAUCAUUAUCCUGAUCAUGACCAAUUAGCAUUUGUAGAGCAGCCACACAGAGAUGACACUGUACUUGAUGCUUGACAGAGUACAAGGUAGACAAAGAGUCCAACUUAUAAAGUAAACUACUGGAACUGUGCAUUUGAAUAUGAAACAUAACACAAACAUACCUAUGAAUCUUAGCGUACCUGGGUCACACAUGGUAAGAAUAAACUCAUGGAAACUCACCUUGAGCUUCACCGUGAUUAUUUGUGUUGCAUCAGAGGAUGGAGCAGAUGGUCUUCCCACAUGAAAGAUCC
rnacentral:lncRNA from 1 species